rnacentral:misc_RNA from 1 species
GAAAUGCGAUAAGUAGUGUGAAUUGCAGAAUUCAGUGAAUCAUCGAAUCUUUGAACGCACAUUGUGCCCUUUGGUAUUCCUUAGGGCAUGCCUGUUCGAGCGUCAUUACGCACCCUCAAGCCCGGCUUGUGUGAUGGGCCCUGGCGUCUCGUUCGCGAGACGGGCCCGAAAGGCAGCGGCGGCGUCGACCCGAUGAGCCCGAGCGUAUGGGGACUUUUGUCACACGUUUGCGGUGCGGACCGGCGCCUGCUUGACUUUUCUGAUUAUCCAGGUUGACCUCGGAUCAGGUAGGGAUACCCGCUGAACUUAAGC